UACGGAGGAUCCGAGCGUUAUCCGGAAUUAUUGGGUUUAAAGGGUGCGUAGGCGGCCAUUUAAGUCAGCGGUGAAAUUUUGCAGCUUAACUGUAACAGUGCCGUUGAUACUGUUUGGCUAGGAUUUGGUUGUAGUGUGCGGAAUGUGUGGUGUAGCGGUGAAAUGCGCAGAUAUCAGGAGGAACACCGGUGGCGAAGGCGGCUUACUGGACUGUAACUGACGCUGAGUCACGAAAGCGUGGGUAGCAAACAGGAUUAGAUACCCGCGUAGU
rnacentral:rRNA from 1 species